rnacentral:rRNA from 1 species
UCGCCUACAUGAAGCUGGAGUUGCUAGUAAUCGCGAAUCAGCAUGUCGCGGUGAAUACGUUCCCGGGUCUUGUACACACCGCCCGUCACACCAUGGGAGCCGGAAACGCCCAAAGACAGCGGCCUAACCGCAAGGAGGGAACUGUCUAAGGCGGGUCUGGUGACCGGGGUGAAGUCGUAACAAGGUAGC